ACGUUGCAACACCGGAUCUCAUCCGAUCACCGACGCUAAGCAAAGUCAAGCCUUGUCAGUACCUAGAUAGGUAAACGCUUGGUAAUAUAAGGUGGUGUAAU